rnacentral:rRNA from 1 species
GACGAACGCUGGCGGCGUGCUUAACACAUGCAAGUCGAACGGAAAGGCCCUGCUUUUGUGGGGUGCUCGAGUGGCGAACGGGUGAGUAACACGUGAGUAACCUGCCCUUGACUUUGGGAUAACUUCAGGAAACUGGGGCUAAUACCGGAUAGGAGCUCCUGCUGCAUGGUGGGGGUUGGAAAGUUUCGGCGGUUGGGGAUGGACUCGCGGCUUAUCAGCUUGUUGGUGGGGUAGUGGCUUACCAAGGCUUUGACGGGUAGCCGGCCUGAGAGGGUGACCGGCCACAUUGGGACUGAGAUACGGCCCAGACUCCUACGGGAGGCAGCAGUGGGGAAUAUUGCACAAUGGGCGGAAGCCUGAUGCAGCAAUGCCGCGUGCGGGAUGACGGCCUUCGGGUUGAAAACCGCUUUCGCCUGUGACGAAGCGUGAGUGACGGUAAUGGGUAAAGAAGCACCGGCUAACUACGUG